UCUCCUAUUUUCUCCUUAAAUCUGAAUGUACUGUUAAGUUCAAAGGCAAUAAUAAGGUGAAAGUGCGGUUCAUAAAAUCAAUUUUCAUGAUGUGGUUUACAAUAAAAGAAAAGGAAAGCAGCAGAUAACUUUCAUGAUUUAAAAAUGAUGAUGCUAUACUCCUAAGUAAAAAAGUUAUUAUAAGAAAAGCAGUAACAAAGUAUGAAUUUGCAUAAUAUUAGUUUUAAUAAUGAGAACGUUUUUGGUCAGUUCAAUUAUCCAAUUAUCAUUAUAGGAUGAUUAAACAGCUUCAAGGAUCAGUCCCUGUAUUUGCCAUGUCCCACUUUGCUUUUAUCUGUCUUUGAAAUAUCUGUGGACCCUUCCCAGUUUGUACAUAGUGAUCACUAAAAUGUGGCCUCUGAAAUUACAAUUGAGAUUGAAACACUAAUCCAGUUGUAUUCCAUAAUGUGAUGUUAACAUUGUAUUAUGAGUUACAUUUGUUUGCUGCUAUCAACUAAUGACCCCAUUUCUCCAUGUGACUGAGGCCCCCUUUUCUCCAUGACAGAUGAUUCCUCAAUUUUGGGUCACGCAGCAUCCUCACAUGAACAUGUUAUUUGGUUUGAGGGCCAGAACAAAAUUAUAUGCAAGUGACUGGUUCCUCACUGAUCCAUAUUCACCACAAAAGCAUCUGAAGAUAUCUUAAUCCACUUAUUCAUUGCUAUAUUUCCUUCUUUCCAAUAAUGUCAGUUUAACAAAUCAAAUAAAUUUUAUAUCCAAAAUAACCAAAUAGACUAAGGGCCAGUGACUUGUAUAACAGCUGUCAUGAGUAUGAAGCUAAAACCAUUAUCAAACUUUCCACUUUUGGUCUUUCUUGGUAUGAUACAAUGGUUCUUACAAAAAUUCAGAAUAAUAAAAAGGAAUCUAACUGUUGUAUGAUCUUUAUCCA